GAGAGAUGGCUGAGCUGGUCUAAGGCGCACGACUGGAAAUCGUGUGUAGGGCAAACACCUUACCGAGGGUUCGAAUCCCUCUCUCUCC
rnacentral:tRNA from 1 species